AUUGAACGCUGGCGGCAUGCCUUACACAUGCAAGUCGAACGGCAGCACGGGUGCUUGCACCUGGUGGCGAGUGGCGAACGGGUGAGUAAUAUAUCGGAACGUACCUUAUCGUGGGGGAUAACGCAGCGAAAGCUGUGCUAAUACCGCAUAAGCCCCAAGGGGGAAAGCAGGGGACCGUAAGGCCUUGCGCGAUUAGCGCGGCCGAUACCUGAUUAGCUAGUUGGUGAGGUAAAGGCUCACCAAGGCAACGAUCAGUAGCUGGUCUGAGAGGACGAUCAGCCACACUGGGACUGAGACACGGCCCAGACUCCUACGGGAGGCAGCAGUGGGGAAUUUUGGACAAUGGGGGCAACCCUGAUCCAGCAAUGCCGCGUGAGUGGAGAAGGCCUUCGGGUUGUAAAGCUCUUUUGUCAGGGAAGAAACAGCAGCUCUAAUACAGUAUGCGAAUGACGGUACCUGAAGAAUAAGCACCGGCUAACUACGUGCCAGCAGCCGCCGUAA
rnacentral:rRNA from 1 species